rnacentral:rRNA from 1 species
CGUUAGAGCGAACGUUAGCGGCGCGCCUAACACAUGCAAGUCGCACGAGAAACGGAGCAAUCCGCGGUACAGUGGCGCACGGGUGAGUAACACGUGGAUGACCUUCCCUGGAGUGGUGGAUAACCUGCCGAAAGGCGGGCUAAUACAGCAUGGGACCACGACGCUUUGGCGAUGUGGUGAAAGCGGGCCUCUAUAUAUAAGCUCGCGCUCCGGGACGGGUCCGCGUCCCAUCAGCUAGUUGGUGAGGUAACGGCUCACCAAGGCUUCGACGGGUAGCUGGUCUGAGAGGAUGGCCAGCCACACUGGAACUGAGACACGGUCCAGACUCCUACGGGAGGCAGCAGUGGGGAAUCUUGCGCAAUGGGCGAAAGCCUGACGCAGCGACGCCGCGUGGGCGAAGAAGGCCUUCGGGUUGUAAAGCCCUGUGGGGGAGAACGAACCGUACGGGGGCGAACACCCUCCGUGCCUGACGGUACUCCUUUAGCAAGCAUCGGCUAACUCUGUG